GAUGAACGCUGGCGGCGUGCCUAAUACAUGCAAGUCGAGCGAACUGAUUAGAAGCUUGCUUCUAUGACGUUAGCGGCGGACGGGUGAGUAACACGUGGGCAACCUGCCUGUAAGACUGGGAUAACUUCGGGAAACCGAAGCUAAUACCGGAUAGGAUCUUCUCCUUCAUGGGAGACGAUUGAAAGAUGGUUUCGGCUAUCACUUACAGAUGGGCCCGCGGUGCAUUAGCUAGUUGGUGAGGUAACGGCUCACCAAGGCAACGAUGCAUAGCCGACCUGAGAGGGUGAUCGGCCACGCUGGGACUGAGCCACGGCCCAGACUCCUACGGGAGGCAGCAGUAGGGAAUCUUCCGCAAUGGACGAAAGUCUGACGGAGCAACGCCGCGUGAGUGAUGAAGGCUUUCGGGUCGUAAAACUCUGUUGUUAGGGAAGAACAAGUACGAGAGUAACUGCUCGUACCUUGACGGUACCUAACCAGAAAGCCACGGCUAACUACGUGCCAGCCGCCGCCGUAAGAC
rnacentral:rRNA from 1 species